CCCCCUGUAGCUCAAUGGAUAGAGCAUCGGCCUUCUAAUCCGACGGUUGCGCGUUCGAGUCGCGCCAGGGGGACCA
rnacentral:tRNA from 1 species